rnacentral:rRNA from 1 species
UACAGAGGAGCCAAGCGUUGUCCGGAUUGACUGGGCGUAAAGCGCACGCAGGCGGUCGGGCGCGUGGGGUGUGAAAUCUGGCCGCUUAACGGCCAGGCGCCAUCCCAUACGGCUCGACUGGAGUGAUGCAGAGGUCGAUGGAAUUGCCGGUGUAGUGGUGAAAUGCGUAGAGAUCGGAAAGAACACCAACGGCGAAAGCACUCUGCUGGGCCGACACUGACACUGAGAGACGAAAGCUAGGGGAGCGAAUGGG